rnacentral:rRNA from 1 species
GAUGAACGCUGGCGGCGUGCUUAACACAUGCAAGUCGAACGUUGAUUCCCAGCUUGUUGGGUGUGCUAGUGGGGCACCCGUGAGUAACCCGCGAGAAACAUGCCCUUAAGCCUAGGUUAAACCUGGCAAACCCGGUCUCAUAUCAGAUAGAUGAGUCCCCCGUCGGGUGGGUGUUGGGAACAUUUACCGGUUUUGGGUGGACUCGCGUCGUAUCAGCUUGUUGGUGUGGUGUUGGCUCCUCAAGGCGGCGACGGGUAGCCGGCCUGAGAGGGUGACCGGCCACACGGGGACUGAGACACGGCACAGACUCCUACGGGAGGCAGCAGUGGGGAAUAUUGCACAAUGGGCGGAAGCCUGAUGCAGCGACGCCGCGUGAGGGAUGACGGCCUUCGGGUUGUAAACCUCUUUCAGCAGGGAAGAAGCGAAAGUGACGGUACCUGGAGAAGAGGCACGGGCUAACUACGUG